UUGCAACGCUUGCUUUCGUUCCUUUCGGUUUCUUCCGGAUUCGACUUCUUCCUGAAAAACCAGAUCGUCGUCUUCUCCUUAACUUGAAUUGAGGUUUUUGAUUAUUCACUCUUCGUUCUCGCUACUGCGAUGUCUCAAAGAGCAGCAAAUGAAAUUUCCAUGGCUUCGUUUCCACGCUCACAGAGUUUCUGGCUGGGAUGAGGAUUUGGCGUUAAUGGUUUUUGUUUGAUCAGUGAGGUUGAUGGGCUGCAUUGGAUUAUAAUUAGUAUGACAGAUUCUAAAGUUUGUUUCAUGGAACAUUUCAUACCAAAGCUGCUGGUACCUCUGCUGGAUGCUACUGGUUUUCUCGGCUACCAUACUCGGCCAUUCCAAGUAAGUGAAAAGAUUCAUUAAGUUCCUGUCCUGGAAGCUAUGUUAUUUUUUAUCUGCAUCAGCAAUAUAUAACAUUCUGAAAAACAUCCAUGACCAAGUAAGAGCCCCAUCCACAUAUGAACUUCGUAACCGGGAAAGUGUGGUUACCCAACAUCAAUUACCAGUUCCCACUUAUGUUCACAUCUUCACAAUGAAUCCUAGCUCACAACUAGUUGUCACUCAACGAGGGGUCAUGUGGGGAAACUAAAGAAUCCAAACUAACUGUGGUCUCAGGAUACCAUGGUACACUCUUGUCCAUGAAUAGCUAUCCUAAUUGAACUAUAGAAUCUGAUACCAUUGGUUGAUCGCUGAAAGUUUGUAAUGACUUAUGCCAGUGUCAAACUCAUAAGCAGAGAAACCUCGACAACAUGAUCUGGACACCACUUGAUCGCUGAAAGUUUGUAAUGAUCUAUUGGUCCUGAGCCGAACCAUGUGUAUCAAUUCCUGAAUUGGAUUUCCUAACUGCCUGGGACUUAACACUUGUUGGAUGUGGAUUUGAGCAUAUCUUUUAGUUGCUAUCAACUUGCCCUGUAACUAAUUUAAGUUUAAAUAUUUUUAGCAAUUUUCUGAAUCAGUUUUUAUAAUUGUACCAAGUACCAAGUUUAAGUUUUUCAGUUACCUAUUGUUCUUUGGUUCUCACAGUGGAGGUUUCUUAACAAUAUCUUCUGGUUGGUCUUGAAUUGUGGUUGUGGACAGAUAUAUGGGAUGCUUCAAACCAUGCUUUGGUUUUUGUUUUGUUGUUCUAGUUGGGUCUAAUUAGGGAUCACCUUGUCCCUAUGUUGUAAUUUUCUUUCCUAUUCAAUGAAUACCUUGUUUUCUAUCAAGAAACAAUUGCAAUAUUUCAUCAUCAUAGUUGAAAUGAUGACAUUCGGAGUACUCAAUGAACAAACUUUUAAUUGACACAGCAUGCUGAUGCAUCUGCAGAUAUGUAGACAUGUGAUGCCUUCUCAAGUUCAAGGUCCGACUAUAAAUGAUGAUUUUUAAUUGAGCAAUGGUAUAGAGAGUUAGACGCUCACUAUAUUACACACUGAAUGGUGGUUUGGAUAUCUAACAGCAGAUCAUGGAUUAUUGAAUUAAAGAAAAGAGCUGUUGGUGACUGGUCACCGUUUAAUUGAUUUAAUGGAAAGUGGAAGUUGAGGGGAACAAGUAUCUGUGGACCGUAGAGAACCUGCAGAAUGGCAUCAAGAAUAACCUUAUAAUUGACCAUGGUUAUCAGUUGAGGGAACAUUUGGUUUAUGCCUACAAUGUUACAUUACUUUAGUUUAGAUUCGGUUGUAAAGAAUAGUUUUGCAGGGAAACCUAGGAGGCUAAGCUUUUUUAGAUGCAUGUUAAUGUAAGUGCAUGAGCCUACAGUUAAACAUAAAUUGUGUGAAGGAAGCUUAAAACUAGGCAAGUAGCUUGUAAGACAUUGCAUUUAGUUGUUCAGCAGCUCACUUGAACAACAAUUAACAGAAUAGCACUUGAAUGUAAGAGUGGCGUCUCUUUUAGCUUAAUGAUGGCAGAAAACAGAUAAAGCAUUUGGGGUUCAUCCCUUCACAUAUAGAAAGGAUUGCAAUUGAUUUCUAAUGAGCCAUUUGGAUAAGCUUCAUGACUAGUUGAGGAAUUGUAUCUCAUCAGUUUCUCAUAAAUUAUAGGAGGCUUCAGGCAUAGGUUUUGUUGAGUUAUUUGGUUGGGUGAGUGCACACUUGCAGGAUUCAAAUUUUUGUAUAGACUAUGAUGUCAUUGAUAUACUCUGCCUAACUAGUGACAAAGUGAUAGUUAUUAGGGAUAUCUUGUUUUUGUUUGGCUAUGGAGAAUUAUGUCAUCUACGUCCAUGUGGAUUCUCAUUGAACUUGUAGGGCAUCAAUUAUAGAUCAUAUGCUUAGAGAUAAAAAUUUCAUUUCUUUUACCCACGCAUUAUAAAAUUUGUAUCUUCCUUAUGUUACAUACACGUGCAUGAUCGCAUGCCUGCAAACACACACACACAAAUGUGCACAUGCAAAGAUUGGAGUAAUUCUCAAAAUUCUCUAGCUUAUGACCAUGACUUGAAAUUAAAUUUACAUGCAUGUGUGCACAAUAUGAAUUGUUUUGGGCGCCAUUCAGGUGCAUCUCAUACUUCUAGCUAUGGCCUCUUAUAUUUAACACGUGAAUGUUUUUAAUUUCUUGUUGAUCUCACUUGUGCAUCUUCUGUGGGCCCUAAUGGUCAGCUGUUUGCUUAUUUAAGCUUACCUAAAUGUGGUGACUACUGUUUGGUUAGAGUUGUUAAGAGCAGGUGACUCUAUCAUUCUACUGAUGGAACAGCAAGAACGCUAACCAAUGGCUCACUCUUAGCUGAAAUUCAAGGAUGUUACCUGCCGCAUAUAGAGCAAUUGAUAACGACAUUUCACUGUUUGAAGACGCAGCUGUAAGUGUACUAAACACUUUACUUCACUUGAUUCUGUCAAAAGGACAAGGUCAACUCGGUUCUCAACAGACCAAAAUUGGAGUAUUUGUUGGUUAGGGAUCUUUACCUUGACUUCGGAAGCAGGAUUCAACAGCUGAUGAUGCUCCUCCUUCAGUUUGUUAAAACGAUCAAUUACUGAUUUCAUGCUGAUAAGAAGAGUCAUGGCAUUAUGGUCAGUCGAUGCAAUGAUCGCAUUUGCGAAAAUUUCUAAAGUUAUGAGAGUGCAGAUUAUAGUUAAUGUAAUGAAAUUAAACAAACACAUCCUAUCAGUAUACAUUAAAUUUGAUAGUAAUGAUUUCUACUCUAUUUCUCAGUUGGAUUUGUGUUAUAGUAGUGAUUGUAAUACUGAAACAAAUACACGACAGAUAUGUAGACGGUAAAUACUACCGAGUUUUUCGGAAAAGAAAAAAAAAAUUGUUGAUU